CGUCGUCGUCGUAAACUAUUUCAAAGAUCUUCUCCUCUGAAACUACUGAACCAAUUCAAACCAAACUUCAUCUGAUUGAUUCCUAGGGUAUCUAGAAUUAAGUUUGUGUUUUAAUUCCCAUUUCAUAAAAAACAUGGCCGCCAUGGCUAAAAAUAGAACAUAGGGGUAAAAUGCAGUUUUUGGCUUAUAACUCAAAAACAAAAGCAUUUAGAGCAAAUCUGACAGGGU
rnacentral:lncRNA from 1 species